UACGUAGGGGGCAAGCGUUAUCCGGAAUUACUGGGUGUAAAGGGUGAGUAGGCGGCAUGGUAAGCCAGAUGUGAAAGCCUUGGGCUUAACCCGAGGAUUGCAUUUGGAACUAUCAAGCUAGAGUACAGGAGAGGAAAGCGGAAUUCCUAGUGUAGCGGUGAAAUGCGUAGAUAUUAGGAAGAACACCAGUGGCGAAGGCGGCUUUCUGGACUGAAACUGACGCUGAGGCACGAAAGCGAGGGGAGCGAACAGG
rnacentral:rRNA from 1 species